UACGUGGGGUGCAAGCGUUGUUCGAAUUACUUGGCGGUAAGGGCGUGUUGGUGGCUUUUUAUGUUAGGGGUGAAAUCCCUCAGCCUAACUGGGGAAGUGCGCCUGAAACUAAGUGGCUUGAGUACGAGAGAGGAGGACGGAAUUCCCAGUGUAGAGGUGAAAUUCGUAGAUAUUGGGAGGAACACCGGUGGCGAAAGCGGUUCUCUAGAUCGAUACUGACGCUGAGACGCGAAAGCGUGGGUAGCAAACAGG
rnacentral:rRNA from 1 species